rnacentral:rRNA from 1 species
ACGCGAGGAACCUUACCAGGUCUUGACAUCCCAUUGACCGCUAUGGAGACAUAGCUUUCCCUUCGGGGACAGUGGUGACAGGUGGUGCAUGGUUGUCGUCAGCUCGUGUCGUGAGAUGUUGGGUUAAGUCCCGCAACGAGCGCAACCCUUGUUCUUAGUUGCCAUCAUUUAGUUGGGCACUCUAAGGAGACUGCCGGUGACAAACCGGAGGAAGGUGGGGAUGACGUCAAAUCAUCAUGCCCCUUAUGACCUGGGCUACACACGUGCUACAAUGGACGGUACAAACGGUUGCCAACCCGCGAGGGGGAGCUAAUCCGAUAAAACCGUUCUCAGUUCGGAUUGUAGGCUGCAACUCGCCUACAUGAAGCUGGAAUCGCUAGUAAUCGCGGAUCAGCAUGCCGCGGUGAAUACGUUCCCGGGCCUUGACACACCGCCCGU